UACGAAGGGGGCUAGCGUUGCUCGGAAUCACUGGGCGUAAAGCGCACGUAGGCGGCUUCUUAAGUCAGGGGUGAAAUCCUGGAGCUCAACUCCAGAACUGCCUUUGAUAUGGGAGCUCGAGUCCGGGAGAGGUGAGUGGAACUGCGAGUGUAGAGGUGAAAUUCGUAGAUAUUCGCAAGAACACCAGUGGCGAAGGCGGCUCACUGGCCCGGUACUGACGCUGAGGUGCGAA
rnacentral:rRNA from 1 species